rnacentral:rRNA from 1 species
UGGGGAAUUUUGGACAAUGGGCGCAAGCCUGAUCCAGCCAUGCCGCGUGCGGGAAGAAGGCCUUCGGGUUGUAAACCGCUUUUGUCAGGGAAGAAAUCUUCUGAGUUAAUACCUCGGGAGGAUGACGGUACCUGAAGAAUAAGCACCGGCUAACUACGUGCCAGCAGCCGCGGUAAUACGUAGGGUGCAAGCGUUAAUCGGAAUUACUGGGCGUAAAGCGUGCGCAGGCGGUUUUGUAAGACAGAGGUGAAAUCCCCGGGCUCAACCUGGGAACUGCCUUUGUGACUGCAAGGCUUGAGUGCGGCAGAGGGGGAUGGAAUUCCGCGUGUAGCAGUGAAAUGCGUAGAUAUGCGGAGGAACACCGAUGGCGAAGGCAAUCCCCUGGGCCUGCACUGACGCUCAUGCACGAAAGCGUGGGGAGCAAACAGGAUUAGAUACCCUGGUAGUCCACGCCCUAAACGAUGUCAACUGGUUGUUGGGAAGGUUCCUUCUCAGUAACGUAGCUAACGCGUGAAGUUGACCGCCUGGGGGAGUACGGCCGC